UACGUAGGUGGCAAGCGUUGUCCGGAAUUAUUGGGCGUAAAGCGCGCGCAGGCGGCCUUUUAAGUCUGAUGUGAAAGCCCACGGCUCAACCGUGGAAGGUCAUUGGAAACUGAAAGGCUUGAGUACAGAAGAGGAAAGCGGAAUUCCACGUGUAGCGGUGAAAUGCGUAGAGAUGUGGAGGAACACCAGUGGCGAAGGCGCUUUCUGGUCUGUAACUGACGCUGAGGCGCGAAAGCGUGGGGGAGCAAACAGG
rnacentral:rRNA from 1 species